UUUGACCUCGGAUCAGGUAGGAAUACCCGCUGAACUUAAGCAUAUCA
rnacentral:rRNA from 27 species